rnacentral:rRNA from 1 species
CCUACGGGUGGCAGCAGUGAGGAAUAUUGGUCAAUGGGCGCGAGCCUGAACCAGCCAAGUAGCGUGAAGGAUGACUGCCCUACGGGUUGUAAACUUCUUUUAUAAAGGAAUAAAGUGAGGCACGUGUGCCUUUUUGUAUGUACUUUAUGAAUAAGGCUCGGCUAACUCCGUGCCAGCAGCCGCGGUAAUACGGAGGAUCCGAGCGUUAUCCGGAUUUAUUGGGUUUAAAGGGAGAGUAGAUGGGUUGUUAAGUCAGUUGUGAAAGUUUGCGGCUCAACCGUAAAAGUGCAAUUGAUACUGGCAGCCUUGAGUACAGUUGAGGUAGGCGGAAUUCGUGGUGUAGCGGUGAAAUGCUUAGAUAUCACGAAGAACUCCGAUUGCGAAGGCAGCCUACUAAACUGCCACUGACAUUGAUGCUCGAAAGUGUGGGGAUCAAACAGGAUUAGAUACCCCUGUAGUC